rnacentral:tRNA from 7 species
GCUCACGUAGCUCAGUCGGUAGAGCACUUCCUUGGUAAGGAAGAGGUCGCUGGUUCGAUUCCAGUCGUGAGCACCA